ACUCUAAGCGGUGGAUCACUCGGCUCAUGGGUCGAUGAAGAACGCAGCAAACUGUGCGUCAUCGUGUGAACUGCAGGACACAUGAACAUCGACAUUUUGAACGCAUAUCGCAGUCCAUGCUGUUAUGUACUUUAAUUAAUUUUAUAGUGCUGCUUGGACUACAUAUGGUUGAGGGUUGUAAGACUAUGCUAAUUAAGUUGCUUAUAAAUUUUUAUAAGCAUAUGGUAUAUUAUUGGAUAAAUAUAAUAAUUUUUAUUCAUAAUAUUAAAAAAUAAAUGAAAAACAUUAUCUCACAUUUGAAUGUGAAAAACGAAGAGAAAUAUUUUCUUUUUCAAUCAAAUAAUACUGAGAAAUGUCUAGCAUAAAAAAUUGAAAUAUUUUUCAUCUAGAAUUGUCUCUUAUUAAUGAUUCGGAAAUAGAAAAAUCUUGGUUAUGUUAUUAUUCUUCGUUGGUUCGUUAAAAAUGGAUAAAUAAAAACUUUGCAUACAAGAAUUAAUAAAAAUGUUAUAACGAAUUUAAUUAAAUGUUUUAUCAUUAUAUAUAAAGAAUUUAUGGCAAGAUAAAGUUAUAUACAACCUCAACUCAUAUGGGACUACCCCCUGAAUUUAAGCAUAUUAAUUAGGGGAGGAAAAGAAACUAACAAGGAUUUUCUUAGUAGCGGCGAGCGAAAAGAAAACAGUUCAGCACUAAGUCACUUUGUCUAUAUGGCAAAUGUGAGAUGCAGUGUAUGGAGCGUCAAUAUUCUAGUAUGAGAAAUUAACGAUUUAAGUCCUUCUUAAAUGAGGCCAUUUACCCAUAGAGGGUGCCAGGCCCGUAUAACGUUAAUGAUUACUAGAUGAUGUUUCCAAAGAGUCGUGUUGCUUGAUAGUGCAGCACUAAGUGGGUGGUAAACUCCAUCUAAAACUAAAUAUAACCAUGAGACCGAUAGUAAACAAGUACCGUGAGGAAAGUUGAAAAGAACUCUGAAUAGAGAGUUAAACAGUACGUGAAACUGCUUAGAGGUUAAGCCCGAUGAACCUGAAUAUCCGUUAUGGAAAAUUCAUCAUUAAAAUUGUAAUAUUUAAAUAAUAUUAUGAGAAUAGUGUGCAUUUUUUCCAUAUAAGGACAUUGUAAUCUAUUAGCAUAUACCAAAUUUAUCAUAAAAUAUAACUUAUAGUUUAUUCCAAUUAAAUUGCUUGCAUUUUAACACAGAAUAAAUGUUAUUAAUUUGAUAAAGUGCUGAUAGAUUUAUAUGAUUACAGUGCGUUAAUUUUUCGGAAUUAUAUAAUGGCAUAAUUAUCAUUGAUUUUUGUGUUUAUUAUAUGCACUUGUAUGAUUAACAAUGCGAAAGAUUCAGGAUACCUUCGGGACCCGUCUUGAAACACGGACCAAGGAGUCUAACAUAUGUGCAAGUUAUUGGGAUAUAAACCUAAUAGCGUAAUUAACUUGACUAAUAAUGGAUUAGUUUUUUAGCUAUUUAUAGCUAAUUAACACAAUCCCGGGCGUUCUAUAUAGUUAUGUAUAAUGUAUAUUUAUAUUAUUUAUGCCUCUAACUGGAACGUACCUUGAGCAUAUAUGCUGUGACCCGAAAGAUGGUGAACUAUACUUGAUCAGGUUGAAGUCAGGGGAAACCCUGAUGGAAGACCGAAACAGUUCUGACGUGCAAAUCGAUUGUCAGAAUUGAGUAUAGGGCGAAAGACCAAUCGAACCAUCUAGUAGCUGGUUCCUUCCGAAGUUUCCCUCAGGAUAGCUGGUGCAUUUUAAUAUUAUAUAAAAUAAUCUUAUCUGGUAAAGCGAAUGAUUAGAGGCCUUAGGGUCGAAACGAUCUUAACCUAUUCUCAAACUUUAAAUGGGUAAGAACCUUAACUUUCUUGAUAUGAAGUUCAAGGUUAUGAUAUAAUGUGCCCAGUGGGCCACUUUUGGUAAGCAGAACUGGCGCUGUGGAUGAACCAAACGUAAUGUUACGGUGCCCAAAUUAACAACUCAUGCAGAUACCAUGAAAGGCGUUGGUUGCUUAAAACAGCAGGACGGUGAUCAUGGAAGUCGAAAUCCGCUAAGGAGUGUGUAACAACUCACCUGCCGAAGCAACUAGCCCUUAAAAUGGAUGGCGCUUAAGUUGUAUACCUAUACAUUACCGCUAAAGUAGAUGAUUUAUAUUACUUGUGAUAUAAAUUUUGAAACUUUAGUGAGUAGGAAGGUACAAUGGUAUGCGUAGAAGUGUUUGGCGUAAGCCUGCAUGGAGCUGCCAUUGGUACAGAUCUUGGUGGUAGUAGCAAAUAAUCGAAUGAGACCUUGGAGGACUGAAGUGGAGAAGGGUUUCGUGUGAACAGUGGUUGAUCACGAGUUAGUCGGUCCUAAGUUCAAGGCGAAAGCCGAAAAUUUUCAAGUAAAACAAAAAUGCCUAACUAUAUAAACAAAGCGAAUUAUAAUACACUUGAAUAAUUUUGAACGAAAGGGAAUACGGUUCCAAUUCCGUAACCUGUUGAGUAUCCGUUUGUUAUUAAAUAUGGCCUCGUGCUCAUCCUGGCAACAGGAACGACCAUAAAGAAGCCGUCGAGAGAUAUCGGAAGAGUUUUCUUUUCUGUUUUAUAGCCGUACUACCAUGGAAGUCUUUCGCAGAGAGAUAUGGUAGAUGGGCUAGAAGAGCAUGACAUAUACUGUUGUGUCGAUAUUUUCUCCUCGGACCUUGAAAAUUUAUGGUGGGACACGCAAACUUCUCAACAGGCCGUACCAAUAUCCGCAGCUGGUCUCCAAGGUGAAGAGUCUCUAGUCGAUAGAAUAAUGUAGGUAAGGGAAGUCGGCAAAUUAGAUCCGUAACUUCGGGAUAAGGAUUGGCUCUGAAGAUUGAGAUAGUCGGGCUUGAUUGGGAAACAAUAACAUGGUUUAUGUGCUCGUUCUGGGUAAAUAGAGUUUCUAGCAUUUAUGUUAGUUACUUGUUCCCCGGAUAGUUUAGUUACGUAGCCAAUUGUGGAACUUUCUUGCUAAAAUUUUUAAGAAUACUAUUUGGGUUAAACCAAUUAGUUCUUAUUAAUUAUAACGAUUAUCAAUUAACAAUCAAUUCAGAACUGGCACGGACUUGGGAAUCCGACUGUCUAAUUAAAACAAAGCAUUGUGAUGGCCCUAGCGGGUGUUGACACAAUGUGAUUUCUGCCCAGUGCUCUGAAUGUCAAAGUGAAGAAAUUCAAGUAAGCGCGGGCUCAACGGCGGGAGUAACUAUGACUCUCUUAAGGUAGCCAAAUGCCUCGUCAUCUAAUUAGUGACGCGCAUGAAUGGAUUAACGAGAUUCCUACUGUCCCUAUCUACUAUCUAGCGAAACCACAGCAAGGGAACGGGCUUGGAAUAAUUAGCGGGGAAAGAAGACCCUUUUGAGCUUGACUCUAAUCUGGCAGUGUAAGGAGAC
rnacentral:rRNA from 1 species